rnacentral:rRNA from 1 species
UGAGGAAUAUUGGGCAAUGCCCGCAAGGGUGACCCAGCAACGCCGCGUGGAGGAUGAAUGUCGUAAGAUUGUAAACUCCUGUUAGAGGGGAAGAAUAGUACCGGUUGGACCGCUAUAUGACUGUACCCUCAGAGAAAGCCCCGGCUAACUACGUGCCAGCAGCCGCGGUAAUACGUAGGGGGCAAGCGUUGUCCGGAUUUACUGGGUGUAAAGGGCGCGCAGGCGGGAUAAAAAGUCAGUGGUGAAAUCCUACAGCUUAACUGUAGAACUGCUUUGAUACUUUUAUUCUUGAGUUCGGGAGAGAGAGACGGAAUUCCAGGUGUAGUGGUGAAAUACGUAGAUAUCUGGAAGAACACCAGUUGCGAAGGCGGUCUCUUGGUCCGACACUGACGCUGAGGCGCGAAAGCGUGGGGAGCAAACA